rnacentral:rRNA from 1 species
GAGUUUGAUCGUGGCUCAGAACGAACGCUGGCGGCAUGCCUAACACAUGCAAGUCGAACGAAGGCUUCGGCCUUAGUGGCGCACGGGUGCGUAACGCGUGGGAAUCUGCCCUUAAGUUCGGAAUAGCCCGGGGAAACCUGGAUUAAUACCGGAUGAUGUCUUCGGACCAAAGAUUUAUCGCUUAAGGAUGAGCCCGCGUAGGAUUAGCUUGUUGGUGAGGUAAAGGCUCACCAAGGCGACGAUCCUUAGCUGGUCUGAGAGGAUGAUCAGCCACACUGGGACUGAGACACGGCCCAGACUCCUACGGGAGGCAGCAGUGGGGAAUAUUGGACAAUGGGCGCAAGCCUGAUCCAGCAAUGCCGCGUGAGUGAUGAAGGCCUUAGGGUUGUAAAGCUCUUUUACCCGGGAUGAUAAUGACAGUACCGGGAGAAUAAGCUCCGGCUAACUCCGUGCCAGCCGCCGCAGU